GCGUAUAUGGUUGAAUGGUAAAAUUUCUCUUUGCCAAAGAGAAGAUGCGGG
rnacentral:tRNA from 1 species